rnacentral:rRNA from 3 species
UUUAAGGAUGAAACCUUCCUGAUCGACUCGUGAGGUAAAAG